GCCCGGGUGGUGGAAUGGCAUACACGGCGGCCUUAAAAGUCGCUGGCCUUCGGGCCGUGUGGGUUCGAGUCCCACCCCGGGCA
rnacentral:tRNA from 1 species